UGGGGAAUAUUGCGCAAUGGGGGCAACCCUGACGCAGCCAUGCCGCGUGAAUGAAGAAGGCCUUCGGGUUGUAAAGUUCUUUCGGUGAUGAGGAAGGUGUUAAGGUUAAUAGCCUUAACAAUUGACGUUAAUCACAGAAGAAGCACCGGCUAACUCCGUGCCAGCAGCCGCGGUAAUACGGAGGGUGCGAGCGUUAAUCGGAAUAACUGGGCGUAAAGGGCACGCAGGCGGAUUUUUAAGUGAGGUGUGAAAGCCCCGGGCUUAACCUGGGAAUUGCAUUUCAGACUGGGAAUCUAGAGUACUUUAGGGAGGGGUAGAAUUCCACGUGUAGCGGUGAAAUGCGUAGAGAUGUGGAGGAAUACCGAAGGCGAAGGCAGCCCCUUGGGAAUGUACUGACGCUCAUGUGCGAAAGCGUGGGGAGCAAACAGG
rnacentral:rRNA from 1 species